rnacentral:rRNA from 1 species
AUUGAACGCUGGCGGCAGGCCUAACACAUGCAAGUCGAACGGAUCCUUCGGGAUUAGUGGCGGACGGGUGAGUAACACGUGGGAACGUGCCCUUUGGUUCGGAACAACUCAGGGAAACUUGAGCUAAUACCGGAUGUGCCCUUCGGGGGAAAGAUUUAUCGCCAUUGGAGCGGCCCGCGUCUGAUUAGCUAGUUGGUGAGGUAAAGGCUCACCAAGGCGACGAUCAGUAGCUGGUCUGAGAGGAUGAUCAGCCACAUUGGGACUGAGACACGGCCCAAACUCCUACGGGAGGCAGCAGUGGGGAAUCUUGCGCAAUGGGCGAAAGCCUGACGCAGCCAUGCCGCGUGAAUGAUGAAGGUCUUAGGAUUGUAAAAUUCUUUCACCGGGGGCGAUAAUGACGGUACCCGGAGAAGAAGCCCCGGCUAACUUCGUGCCAGCCGCCGCAGUAAUAC